CAAAAAUUGUUAUUUGCUUUGUUUUGUCAGUAGACGUUUUAGAGUAAUCCUAGAAAAAUUAUCAUAUAGACCAGUGGUACAGGAAUACAGAUAUAAGUAGAUUUAUAUAUGUUUCCUUAUACGACAUCAAUCGGAGGUUAUUAGUUAUGACUGGCUAAUUUUCAUGCAGGAAUUGAGCAGCAACUUCUUUCUGAGAGAGUAAGGCAAUCAGCUGAUUUAUCAAAAGAAAGCAAUUUGUCUGCAAAUUAAAGAAAAUAAGAACGCACAAUUAACAAUUAAUCAAGAACAAAACAAUUGGGCUUGCGUGUUUCCAAAUAAAAAGUGGUUUAAAAUUUCAUAACCGGAAGGAGAAGAAGAAGAGUUGAAAGUGUUUGUAAGAAGAAAUCUGUCUAGCAUGAACUGUUACAAAUUUUAGGGUAACCAGACACACCUACAAUAUGCUUUUUCAAUUUUUUUUAUAAAUUUGAAUAAUUUUUCAUUCAAAAUUUUCAAUUGCAAAAUUGGUUUGACGUUUCAUUGUCCAAAAUUCUGUGUCGAUGAGUCUACCUGUAUUUUUCUACCAUGUACAGAAGUAAUAAGUAUGUCGCUUUCUACCUUAAACGGGCAGGGAAAGUUUACGAGAAAAAAGUGAGGCUGAGAAAAAAGUACAGCACCGCACUUU